AAUCAACGCUGGCGGCGUGCCUAACACAUGCAAGUCGAACGAGAAAGUGGAGCAAUCCAUGAGUACAGUGGCGAACGGGUGAGUAACACGUGACUAACCUGCCUUCGAGUGGGGGAUAACCUCGGGAAACCGGGGCUAAUACCGCAUAAGAUCCUAAGGGUGCAAUUCCCAUGGGACCAAAGGGGUAAGACGCUUGAAGAGGGGGUCGCGGCUGAUUAGCUAGUUGGUGAGGUAACGGCUCACCAAGGCGAAGAUCGGUAGCCGGCCUGAGAGGGCGCACGGCCACACUGGAACUGAAACACGGUCCAGACUCCUACGGGAGGCAGCAGUGGGGAAUUUUGCGCAAUGGGGGAAACCCUGACGCAGUAACGCCGCGUGGAGGAUGAAGCCCUUUGGGGCGUAAACUCCUUUCGAUCGGGACGAUUAUGACGGUACCGGAUGAAGAAGCACCGGCUAACUCUGUGCCAGCAGCCGCAGUAA
rnacentral:rRNA from 1 species